rnacentral:rRNA from 1 species
AUGGCCGCGCCUUCCGCCGUCGGCUGCUUCCUCGGCCUCGCCUUCCUGCUCUGCGGCGCCGUCCGUGGCGCGCUCGACGCGGAGGCCGCGCGGCAGCAGGCGGCGGACCGCGUGGGGCGGCUGCCGGGGCAGCCGGCCGUGAAGUUCGCGCAGUACGCCGGGUACGUGACCGUGAACGAGGCGCACGGCCGCGCGCUCUUCUACUGGUUCUUCGAGGCCAUCGCCGGCGCCGCCAAGAAGCCGCUCGUGCUCUGGCUCAACGGCGGGCCGGGCUGUUCGUCCAUCGGGUAUGGAGAGGCAGAGGAGCUCGGGCCCUUCUUGGUCCAGAAGGGCAAGCCGGAGCUGAAAUGGAACCCUUACUCGUGGAACAAAGAGGCUAACCUAAUGUUCUUGGAGUCCCCGGUGGGCGUCGGUUUCUCCUACACCAACACAAGCUCCGACCUGGGCAAGCUUGGUGACAAGAUCACCGCCGCCGACGCGUACGUCUUCCUGCUCAACUGGUUCAAGCGGUUCCCGCAGUACAAGCACCACGAGUUCUACAUCGCCGGGGAGAGUUACGCUGGGCAUUACGUUCCGCAGCUGUCGGAGAAGAUCUUCGACGGCAACAAGCACGGGCCCAAGGAGAACCGCAUCAACUUCAAGGGCCUCAUGAUAGGGAAUGCACUGAUGGACGACGAGACGGACCAGGCGGGCAUGGUCCAGUACGCGUGGGACCACGCCGUGAUCUCCGACCGGGUGUACGCCGACGUCAAGGCCCACUGCGACUUCGCCAUGGCCAACACCACCGCCGAGUGCGACCAGGCGCUGGAAGAGUACUUCGCCGUCUACCGCCUCAUCGACAUGUACAGCCUCUACACGCCCGUCUGCACCGACGGCUCCUCCUCCUCGCCGCUCGCCAAGAGGGUCGGCGUCCACGGCGCCGCCCCCAAGAUCUUCUCCAAAUAUCAUGGGUGGUACAUGAGACCUGCAGGCUACGAUCCCUGCACGACCCAAUACUCCGAGGUCUACUUCAACCGGCCGGAUGUCCAGGCGGCGCUGCACGCGAACGUGACCAAGAUCGGCUACAAUUGGACGCAUUGCAGCGACGUGAUCGGCAAGUGGAACGACGCCGUCCCCUCCACCCUCCCCAUCAUCCGCAAGCUCGUCGCCGGCGGAAUCAGGGUCUGGGUUUUCAGCGGUGACACCGAUGGGAGGAUCCCCGUGACGGCGACGAGGCUGACCCUGAACAAGCUCGGGCUCAAGACUGUCCAGGAGUGGACGCCGUGGUACGACCGGCUGCAGGUGGGUGGGUGGACGAUCACCUACGAGGGCCUCACGUUCGUGACGAUCCGCGGAGCCGGGCACGAGGUCCCUAUGCACACGCCGAGGCAGGCGCUCAGUCUCUUCAGCCACUUUUUGGGUGAUAAGAAGAUGCCGACGACGGCCUUCUCCUAG